rnacentral:RNase_P_RNA from 1 species
GGAGCCGGACGGGUCAGCGCUGCGGGCAUUUUGCCCGGAGAGGAAAGUCCGGGCUCCACAGGGCGGAACGCUGGGUAACCCCCAGGGGGAGCGAUCCCCGGAAAGCGCAACAGAAAGCAAACCGCCAUUGUUAAAAUGGUAAGGGUGAAACGGUGGUGUAAAAGACCACCGGUUGCCAUGGCGACAUGGCAAGCCAGGCAAACCCCGUUCGGAGCAAGACCAAAUAGGAGAGCGGCAAUCCGGCCCGGAUUGCUCUCGGGUAGGUUGCUUGAGGUUAUGAGUAAUUAUAACCCUAGAGGAAUGCUGACCACCCCGCCAAGCGCGGGGAACAGAACCCGGCUUACAGUCCGGCUCCCUUU